rnacentral:rRNA from 1 species
UACGUAGGAGGCGAGCGUUGUCCGGAAUUACUGGGCGUAAAGAGCGCGUAGGCGGCACGGUACGACCGGUGUGAAAGCCCCCGGCUCAACUGGGGAGGGUCACCGGUAACGGCCGAGCUAUGAGUGCAGGAGAGGGAAGUGGAACUCCGGGAGUAGCGGCGAAAUGCGUAGAGACCCGGAGGAACACCAGUGGCGAAGGCGGCUUCCUGGUCUGCAACUGACGCUGUGGCGCGAAAGCUAGGGGAGCAAACGGG